GAAUUGUAUGAAAGGAGAGAAGGUUAGCACUCCCCUUGACAAGGAUGGAAGAGGCCUCGGGCCUGACAACACGCAUAUGGUUGAGGCAUUGCCACCUACUUCGAGGCAUCUAAUCACUGUUUUUA
rnacentral:ncRNA from 1 species